rnacentral:rRNA from 1 species
GGUUAAGCGACUAAGCGUACACGGUGGAUGCCCUGGCAGUCAGAGGCGAUGAAGGACGUGCUAAUCUGCGAUAAGCGUCGGUAAGGUGAUAUGAACCGUUAUAACCGGCGAUUUCCGAAUGGGGAAACCCAGUGUGAUUCGUCACACUAUCAUUAACUGAAUCCAUAGGUUAAUGAGGCGAACCGGGGGAACUGAAACAUCUAAGUACCCCGAGGAAAAGAAAUCAACCGAGAUUCCCCCAGUAGCGGCGAGCGAACGGGGAGGAGCCCAGAGCCUGAAUCAGUGUGUGUGUUAGUGGAAGCGUCUGGAAAGGCGCGCGAUACAGGGUGACAGCCCCGUACACAAAAAUGCACAUACUGUGAGCUCGAUGAGUAGGGCGGGACACGUGGUAUCCUGUCUGAAUAUGGGGGGACCAUCCUCCAAGGCUAAAUACUCCUGACUGACCGAUAGUGAACCAGUACCGUGAGGGAAAGGCGAAAAGAA